rnacentral:rRNA from 1 species
UUUGGAGAUUUGAUCCUGGUUCAGAACGAACGCUGGCGGCAGCUUAACACAUGCAAGUCGAGCGCCCCGCAAGGGGAGCGGCAGACGGGUGAGUAACGCGUGGGAACGUACCAUUUGCUACGGAAUAACUCAGGGAAACUUGUGCUAAUACCGUAUGAGCCCGAAAGGGGAAAGAUUUAUCGGCAAAUGAUCGGCCCGCGUUGGAUUAGCUAGUUGGUGGGGUAAAGGCCUACCAAGGCGACGAUCCAUAGCUGGUCUGAGAGGAUGAUCAGCCACACUGGGACUGAGACACGGCCCAGACUCCUACGGGAGGCAGCAGUGGGGAAUAUUGGACAAUGGGCGCAAGCCUGAUCCAGCCAUGCCGCGUGAGUGAUGAAGGCCCUAGGGUUGUAAAGCUCUUUCACCGGUAAGAUAAUGACGGUAACCGGAGAAGAAGCCCCGCUAACUUC